rnacentral:snRNA from 1 species
ACGCUUACCUGACACAGGAGAUAUCAUGUUCAUAAAGGUGAUUUUCCCAGAGAGAGGCUUAUCCAUUGCGCUCUGAAUGUGCUGACCCCUGCAAUUUCCCCAAAUGUGGGAAACUUUUCUCACACUUUCC